GGUAGUCCACGCCGUAAACGAUGCGGACUAGGUGUCGGGGGUAUCGACCCCCUCGGCGCCGCAGCUAACGCAUUAAGUCCGCCGCCUGGGGAGUACGGCCGCAAGGCUAAAACUCAAAGGAAUUGACGGGGGCCCGCACAAGCAGCGGAGCGUGUGGUUUAAUUCGAUGCAACGCGAAGAACCUUACCUGGGUUAAAUUUGCCCGGACCGCCUCGGAAACGAGGUUUCCCUUCGGGCCGGUGGACGGUGCUGCACGGCUGUCGUCAGCUCGUGCCGUGAGGUGUUGGGUUAAG
rnacentral:rRNA from 1 species